UACUCAUCAUGUUUAUAUAUAUAUAUAUAUAUAUAUAUAUAUAUAUAUAACAGAUAUGAUGUCUAAAUAAUAAUUUCCCUUUAGUCUACCUUUAAUUACAUUUUGAUAAAAAAUUAUGAAGGCAUUUUUAUUUUUUGGUUAACAUGCACCUAUGCAUCACAAACAAUAAGACCAAAAUGUGCAUUAAGAAACAAUAUAGGGAAAAAAUGUAUUUCUAUUUUUUUGCUUUAUGAAACCUAAAAACACCAAAAAGGCUCUUUUAUCCUCAUUUGUUAGAAUUUUUAACAAGAAAUCCACAAGUACUGCAGUAAAGCAUUGAGUUGAUGAACCGUUAACAUUUUUAGCAUACUUGCACUUUAAAUGUCAUGUAAAUGUAAUUAAAUGCAUCGUGACCAUUACUAAAGUGAGUAAAUAUAGUCCUACCUGCUCAUUUGAAGUGGGAUGACACUUCACUUCCCACAUCUGAAUUAGUAAAAUUGUCCAUUUAUGCACUGUGUUUUAACCCACGGUUGUGCAGUGGUGCAAAUCUCUAAAAGUCUUUUUAACAUGCUUAUCAUUUGCAGUGACCCCAUGACAAUCUGCAGUACUUCAGCACUACGUCCUGGAUGCAAAAAUAGCAACUGUAAACAGGAAGUGCCUGUUGACCUUGUUUGCGUAUGCGUGCAGUUGAGGCCUCGCGUGCUUCUGUUCAACUUUAACGGAUACAGUUUCAAGAUAAAGGACAUGUCUGCUGAAAAGAAGCCCAAAAAGAAGAAGCCUGAGUCGACUCCAGCAGAGACCAACGGGAUCGAAGCCAAAUCCAAAAAGACCAAGAGCAAGAAGAGCGGCGAUCUGUCGGCCGAGAGCGACCUGGUCACUCAGAGUACGGCAGAGAGCUCAUGUCCUGAUGUUACAUCACAGCGCUUCUGUCAGUCUGUUUACACAACUCUCACAAACCUCCCUCACAGAUGGAGAGAAGGUGAAGAAGAAGAAACUGGAGAAGGACAAAGAAUCAACAGAAAAGGAGAAGGAAAUCAAAAAGAAAGCGAAAAGCGCUCCAAAGAAGAAGAAGAGUAA
rnacentral:lncRNA from 1 species